rnacentral:rRNA from 1 species
CCUACGGGGUGCAGCAGUAGGGAAUUUUCCACAAUGGGCGAAAGCCUGAUGGAGCAACGCCGCGUGGGUGCAGAAGGUCUUCGGAUCGUAAAACCCUGUUGUUAGAGAAGAAAGUGCGUGAGAGUAACUGUUCACGUUUCGACGGUAUCUAACCAGAAAGCCACGGCUAACUACGUGCCCGCAGCCGCGGUAAUCCGUAGGGGGCAAGCGUUAUCCGGAUUUAUUGGGCGUAAAGGGAACGCAGGCGGUUUUUUAAGUCUGAUGUUAAAGGCUUCGGCUUAACCGGAGUAGUGCAUUGGAAACUUGGAGACUUGAGUGCCAAAAAGGAUGGUGGAACUCCAUUUGUAGCGGUGAAAUGCUUAGAUAUAUGGAAGAACACCAGUUGCGAAAGCGGCUCUCUGGUCUGUAACUGACGCUGAGAUUCGAAAGCGUGGGUAGCAAACAGGAUUAGAUACCCCAGUAGUC